UUAAGAAGGGAGUACCAUGCGCUGAGCUGGCUCGGUGGGUAUAUGAGGUGUGCUGAACUGGCUCGGUGGGUAUAUGAGGUGUGCUGAGCUAGCUCAGUGGGUAUAUGAGGUGUGCUGAGCUGGCUGGGUGGGUAUAUGAGGUGUGGGAUAG